AUGGAGUCCGUGCGACUUCUCCUUGUGCUGGCUGCCCAGGAGGGCUGGCGUGUCCACCACAUGGACGUCAAGUCGGCAUUCCUCAACGGCGACUUGAAGGAGGAAGUCUACGUGCAUCAGCCACCGGGUUUUACGAUACCCGGCCAGGAGGGCAAGGUACUCCGCCUGCGCAAGGCUCUCUAUGGCCUGCGGCAGGCACCCAGGGCGUGGAACGCCAAGCUGGACUCCACGCUGAAGAAGAUGGGUUUCGAGCAGAGCCCGCAUGAGGCUGCCGUCUACCGACGGGGGAGUGGAGGAAAUGCCCUGCUGGUGGGCGUCUACGUUGACGACCUGGUGAUCACCGGCACCAAAGAUGCAGAGGUGGCGGCGUUCAAGGAAGACAUGAAGGCCACGUUACAGAUGAGUGACCUGGGGCUCCUCUCCUUUUAUCUAGGGAUUGAGGUGCACCAGGACCACUCCGGGAUCGUGCUUCGACAGUCCGCCUACGCCAAGCGCAUCGUUGAGCUAGCUGGGCUCACCGACUGCCAUCCAGCUCUCACUCCGAUGGAGGAGAGGCUGAAACUGAGCCGCGACAGCACAACGGAGGAAGUGGAUGCUACGCAGUACCGACGCCUUGUGGGGAGCCUUCGCUACCUCACUCACACACGGCCGGACUUGGCAUUCUCCGUCGGCUAUGUCAGUCGGUUCAUGGAGCGACCAACGUCGGAACACUAG
rnacentral:rRNA from 1 species